UUGGAACAGAACCAGAUAUGAUCCGGGAUGGAUCAACCACACCAAUUGCCAAUAUAUUCCAGGAUGUUAUCCAAAAGAGUGUGAUGAUGCUCCCGCUGGGCACUGUGGACGAUGGAGAGCACGCGCAGAAGGAGAAAAUCAACAGUGAGCAGGUGGAACUACAUAGAAGGAUCCCAAUUAUUUGCUGCCUUUUUCCUAGAGACGGCUAAGCUGCAUUAACAACGACGGGAACCUUCCAGCUUACAUCUGAGCUGCUGACAUAUCCCCUCUCUCACAUCCCUGGACAGGAAUAGAAUCUAAAUAUCCAGAGAAUUUCUGUCCAGUAAAUAAUAUUUUCCCUCUUUAAUACGUCUUUGGACAUUUGGACCAGUAAUAAACUAUUUUAAAGGUAGAGACACUGGAAA